GGGUUGUGAGGUUAAGCGACUAAGCGUACACGGUGGAUGCCCUGGCAGUCAGAGGCGAUGAAGGACGUGCUAAUCUGCGAUAAGCGUCGGUAAGGUGAUAUGAACCGUUAUAACCGGCGAUUUCCGAAUGGGGAAACCCAGUGUGAUUCGUCACACUAUCAUUAACUGAAUCCAUAGGUUAAUGAGGCGAACCGGGGGAACUGAAACAUCUAAGUACCCCGAGGAAAAGAAAUCAACCGAGAUUCCCCCAGUAGCGGCGAGCGAACGGGGAGCAGCCCAGAGCCUGAAUCAGUGUGUGUGUUAGUGGAAGCGUCUGGAAAGGCGUGCGAUACAGGGUGACAGCCCCGUACACAAAAAUGCACAUACUGUGAGCUCGAUGAGUAGGGCGGGACACGUGGUAUCCUGUCUGAAUAUGGGGGGACCAUCCUCCAAGGCUAAAUACUCCUGACUGACCGAUAGUGAACCAGUACCGUGAGGGAAAGGCGAAAAGAACCCCGGCAAGGGGAGUGAAAAAGAACCUGAAACCGUGUACGUACAAGCAGUGGGAGCACAGAGCAAUCUGUGUGACUGCGUACCUUUUGUAUAAUGGGUCAGCGACUUAUAUUCUGUAGCAAGGUUAACCGAAUAGGGGAGCCGAAGGGAAACCGAGUCUUAACUGGGCGUUAAGUUGCAGGGUAUAGACCCGAAACCCGGUGAUCUAGCCAUGGGCAGGUUGAAGGUUGGGUAACACUAACUGGAGGACCGAACCGACUAAUGUUGAAAAAUUAGCGGAUGACUUGUGGCUGGGGGUGAAAGGCCAAUCAAACCGGGAGAUAGCUGGUUCUCCCCGAAAGCUAUUUAGGUAGCGCCUCGUGAAUUCAUCUCCGGGGGUAGAGCACUGUUUCGGCAAGGGGGUCAUCCCGACUUACCAACCCGAUGCAAACUGCGAAUACCGGAGAAUGUUAUCACGGGAGACACACGGCGGGUGCUAACGUCCGUCGUGAAGAGGGAAACAACCCAGACCGCCAGCUAAGGUCCCAAAGUCAUGGUUAAGUGGGAAACGAUGUGGGAAGGCCCAGACAGCCAGGAUGUUGGCUUAGAAGCAGCCAUCAUUUAAAGAAAGCGUAAUAGCUCACUGGUCGAGUCGGCCUGCGCGGAAGAUGUAACGGGGCUAAACCAUGCACCGAAGCUGCGGCAGCGACACUAUGUGUUGUUGGGUAGGGGAGCGUUCUGUAAGCCUGUGAAGGUGUACUGUGAGGUAUGCUGGAGGUAUCAGAAGUGCGAAUGCUGACAUAAGUAACGAUAAAGCGGGUGAAAAGCCCGCUCGCCGGAAGACCAAGGGUUCCUGUCCAACGUUAAUCGGGGCAGGGUGAGUCGACCCCUAAGGCGAGGCCGAAAGGCGUAGUCGAUGGGAAACAGGUUAAUAUUCCUGUACUUGGUGUUACUGCGAAGGGGGGACGGAGAAGGCUAUGUUGGCCGGGCGACGGUUGUCCCGGUUUAAGCGUGUAGGCUGGUUUUCCAGGCAAAUCCGGAAAAUCAAGGCUGAGGCGUGAUGACGAGGCACUACGGUGCUGAAGCAACAAAUGCCCUGCUUCCAGGAAAAGCCUCUAAGCAUCAGGUAACAUCAAAUCGUACCCCAAACCGACACAGGUGGUCAGGUAGAGAAUACCAAGGCGCUUGAGAGAACUCGGGUGAAGGAACUAGGCAAAAUGGUGCCGUAACUUCGGGAGAAGGCACGCUGAUAUGUAGGUGAAGUCCCUCGCGGAUGGAGCUGAAAUCAGUCGAAGAUACCAGCUGGCUGCAACUGUUUAUUAAAAACACAGCACUGUGCAAACACGAAAGUGGACGUAUACGGUGUGACGCCUGCCCGGUGCCGGAAGGUUAAUUGAUGGGGUUAGCGCAAGCGAAGCUCUUGAUCGAAGCCCCGGUAAACGGCGGCCGUAACUAUAACGGUCCUAAGGUAGCGAAAUUCCUUGUCGGGUAAGUUCCGACCUGCACGAAUGGCGUAAUGAUGGCCAGGCUGUCUCCACCCGAGACUCAGUGAAAUUGAACUCGCUGUGAAGAUGCAGUGUACCCGCGGCAAGACGGAAAGACCCCGUGAACCUUUACUAUAGCUUGACACUGAACAUUGAGCCUUGAUGUGUAGGAUAGGUGGGAGGCUUUGAAGUGUGGACGCCAGUCUGCAUGGAGCCGACCUUGAAAUACCACCCUUUAAUGUUUGAUGUUCUAACGUUGACCCGUGAUCCGGGUUGCGGACAGUGUCUGGUGGGUAGUUUGACUGGGGCGGUCUCCUCCUAAAGAGUAACGGAGGAGCACGAAGGUUGGCUAAUCCUGGUCGGACAUCAGGAGGUUAGUGCAAUGGCAUAAGCCAGCUUGACUGCGAGCGUGACGGCGCGAGCAGGUGCGAAAGCAGGUCAUAGUGAUCCGGUGGUUCUGAAUGGAAGGGCCAUCGCUCAACGGAUAAAAGGUACUCCGGGGAUAACAGGCUGAUACCGCCCAAGAGUUCAUAUCGACGGCGGUGUUUGGCACCUCGAUGUCGGCUCAUCACAUCCUGGGGCUGAAGUAGGUCCCAAGGGUAUGGCUGUUCGCCAUUUAAAGUGGUACGCGAGCUGGGUUUAGAACGUCGUGAGACAGUUCGGUCCCUAUCUGCCGUGGGCGCUGGAGAACUGAGGGGGGCUGCUCCUAGUACGAGAGGACCGGAGUGGACGCAUCACUGGUGUUCGGGUUGUCAUGCCAAUGGCACUGCCCGGUAGCUAAAUGCGGAAGAGAUAAGUGCUGAAAGCAUCUAAGCACGAAACUUGCCCCGAGAUGAGUUCUCCCUGACUCCUUGAGAGUCCUGAAGGAACGUUGAAGACGACGACGUUGAUAGGCCGGGUGUGUAAGCGCAGCGAUGCGUUGAGCUAACCGGUACUAAUGAACCGUGAGGCUUAACCUUACAACGCCGAAGGUGUUU
rnacentral:rRNA from 1 species